GAGGGUAUCGCUCAGUGGUAAAGCACGUGUGUAGUAUACGCAAGGUCCUGGGUUCAACCCCCAGUACCACCA
rnacentral:tRNA from 1 species